rnacentral:rRNA from 1 species
GGAAAGAUUCAUCGGUAUGGGAUGGGGUCGCGUCCUAUCAGCUUGAUGGCGGGGUAACGGCCCACCAUGGCUUCGACGGGUAGCCGGCCUGAGAGGGCGACCGGCCACAUUGGGACUGAGAUACGGCCCAGACUCCUACGGGAGGCAGCAGUGGGGAAUAUUGCACAAUGGGCGCAAGCCUGAUGCAGCGACGCCGCGUGCGGGAUGACGGCCUUCGGGUUGUAAACCGCUUUUGACUGGGAGCAAGCCCUUCGGGGUGAGUGUACCUUUCGAAUAAGCACCGGCUAACUACGUGCCAGCAGCCGCGGUAAUACGUAGGGUGCAAGCGUUAUCCGGAAUUAUUGGGCGUAAAGGGCUCGUAGGCGGUUCGUCGCGUCCGGUGUGAAAGUCCAUCGCUUAACGGUGGAUCCGCGCCGGGUACGGGCGGGCUUGAGUGCGGUAGGGGAGACUGGAAUUCCCGGUGUAACGGUGGAAUGUGUAGAUAUCGG